CGUAGGUGGCAAGCGUUGUCCGGAUUUAUUGGGUUAAAGGGUGCGUAGCGGCUUUAUAAGUCAGUGCUGAAAUAUCCCGGCUUAACCGGGAGGGUGGCAUUGAUACUGCAGAGCUUGAGUGAAGUCGAGGUAGGCGGAAUUGACGGUGUAGCGGUGAAAUGCUUAGAUAUCGUCAAGAACACCGAUAGUGAAGACAGCUUACUAGACUUCAACUGACGCUGAGGCACGAAAGUGUGGGGAUCAAACAGGAUUAGAUACCCUGGUAGUCCACACUGUAAACGUUGAUUACUCGAUGUGUGCGAUAUACAGUACGCGUCUUAGCGCAAGCGAUAAGUAAUCCACCUGGGGAGUACGCCGGCAACGGUG
rnacentral:rRNA from 1 species